rnacentral:rRNA from 1 species
ACGGGUGAGUAACACGUGGGUGAUCUGCCCCCUACUCUGGGAUAAGCCUGGGAAACUGGGUCUAAUACCGGAUAUGACCUUGGGCUUCAUGGUUCUUGGUGGAAAGUUUUUCGGUAGGGGAUGAGCCCGCGGCCUAUCAGCUUGUUGGUGGGGUAAUGGCCUACCAAGGCGACGACGGGUAGCCGGCCUGAGAGGGCGACCGGCCACACUGGGACUGAGACACGGCCCAGACUCCUACGGGAGGCAGCAGUGGGGAAUAUUGCACAAUGGGCGAAAGCCUGAUGCAGCGACGCCGCGUGGGGGAUGACGGCCUUCGGGUUGUAAACCCCUUUCAGUCGGGACGAAGCGAGAGUGACGGUACCGAUAGAAGAAGCACCGGCCAACUACGUGCCAGCAGCCGCGGUAAUACGUAGGGUGCGAGCGUUGUCCGGAAUUACUGGGCGUAAAGAGCUCGUAGGCGGCUUGUCGCGUUGUUCGUGAAAAUUUACCGCUCAACGGUGAACUUGCGGGCGAUACGGGCAGGCUAGAGUACUGCAGGGGAGACUGGAAUUCCUGGUGUAGCGGUGAAAUGCGCAGA